CUGAGGACGAGGAAAGCGCUGGCUGCUGCUCGCUGGCCCCUGCCUACCGCGGCGAUGGGAGCGAGCCGUGCCCAUUGCAUCACCCGACGCCUCGGUCCCCCCGUGCCAGGACAUUCCUCCAGCUGAGUCACGGUCCGGGCUGCCGCCCUGCUUCCAGAGCGGCCCCCAGGGUGCUGCCGGCCUGCUUGCCAGCUGCUGCCUAUAGCCUGGGAGGGCUGCCUGCCUUCCCCACCGUCUUCCUCAGCCACUACCCAGGGCUGUAGGAGUCCUCACCUGCGACCCGCUGGCUGCAGCAAGCAGACUCUUCAAACGUCCGUGAUCCGCUUCGGGACCCCGCGCCGCAGAGAGAGCAGGCGGAGGGAGGGACGGACGCAGGAGGAGGAAACAUCAGCGCGGGUGCCGCAGGAGGAAGCAGCGUAGGGCAGCGCGGGUGCUGCAGGAGGAAGCAGCGUAGGGCAGCGCGGGUGCUGCAGGAGGAAGCAGCAGAGGGCAGCGCGGGUGCUGCAGGAGGAAGCAGCAGAGGGCAGCGCGGAUGCUGCAGGAGGAAGCGGCGUAGCGCAGCGCGGGUGCUGCAGGAGGAAGCAGCAGAGGGCAGCGCGGAUGCUGCAGGAGGAAGCGGCGUAGCGCAGCGCGGGUGCUGCAGGAGGAAGCGGCGUAGCGCAGCGCGGGUGCUGCAGGAGGAAGCGGCGUAGCGCAGCGCGGGUGCUGCAGGAGGAAGCAGCAGAGGGCAGCGCGGAUGCUGCAGGAGGAAGCGGCGUAGCGCAACGCGGGUGCUGCAGGAGGAAGCAGCAGAGGGCAGCGCGGGUGCUGCAGGAGGAAGCAGCAAAGGGCAGCGCGGGUGCUGCAGGAGGAAGCAGCGUAGGGCAGCGCGGGUGCUGCAGGAGGAAGCAGCGUAGGGCAGCGCGGGUGCUGCAGGAGGAAGCAGCGUAGCGCAACGCGGGUGCUGCAGGAGGAAGCAGCAGAGGGCAGCGCGGGUGAUGCAGGAGGAAGCAGCAAAGGGCAGCGCGGGUGCUGCAGGAGGAAGCAGCGUAGCGCAACGCGGGUGCUGCAGGAGGAAGCAGCGUAGCGCAACGCGGGUGCUGCAGGAGGAAGCAGCAGAGGGCAGCGCGGAUGCUGCAGGAGGAAGCGGCGUAGGGCAGCGCGGAUGCUGCAGGAGCAGCAGCAGCCGGCGGCACCCCGGGACAGGGAGGAAUUCCCCCGCUGCCCGUCGCUCCCCGUGCCCUGCUGCUAACUCACGCGUGCCAGCGAGUCGCAGCGCCCUGCAGCCACAGGUCAACGGACAAUAAAAGAGAGAUUCAGUCAAAA